CGCAGGGGAAAAUAUUGUGGCCAUAAAUAAACUGGCUGGAAUCUACAUUUCUUUAAAAUAAUUUUUUUUGCAAAUACUACUCAUAUUUUAUAUACUCUACUAUGAGGUAAAAACGAACCUCUAGCUGAAAUUCACAUCACCGCCGAGCAAAGUCACCGAAGUAGGUUCAACAAAACCGAUGUUUUCGAAUAGGCCGACCACCACAGAAAAAAAUAUUGGUAAAACAGCGGAAGGGAAAAUCAACAGAUUACGCAAAAAAUAUACUAUACCAUAUACACUCACCGAGAAGAAUCGCAAAAGGAGAUCCAGUGGAUUAGGUCCCUGUAGGAUGCAUACUACAGAAAAGAGACGGAUUUCCGCCGACCGCUGCUUCCCGGUCAAACCAUUCGGAAUUUGAUUCGAAAUCCUGAAUGGAGUCAGUAUUGGCAUAUUUAUCCAGAAAAUAUAUAUAGGGGGCGCAACAUGCUUGAGGUGGAUGUUUUGCGAAGCUGACAAUAUUCGUAUGAAUAACUGAAAGUAAUGUGGAAGAAAUUUAAUUUCCUUCAAGAUGACAACAGACUUUUUCUGCAAAAGAGGGAUACUAUAUUGCUUGUGGCACUAAAAACUGGAUUAUAACCGCACAGCGCACCUAAUAUUCUUCUAAUAAAUUCUCAUAGACUGGUUAGUUCGAUUGGUCUGUCUAUGAAAGUACCAUCUCUAUCACUUGAAUUACAUGUGUUUUGACAGCUCGCCCUUCUCAGUAGGAGUUUGAUCACUCGCACUUUAAAAGGGCGGAGUCCAGGUUGGUGGGAAGUGCGCAAUAGCAUAUUUUUAAAUUUUUUUUCAGAACCGGUAUAAAACCACCUCGCAGAAAGUUGUAUUUGCUCGAAAUGAGAGCUAAUUGUUGUCAAAAGUGCGCUUCGAUGGGUUGUUUAAAUAUUAUUGAAUCGGACGGUUAUGAAUCCUAACCUAGACGUGCAGUAUUCACACUUUUGAAGAUUUCUUAUGUUUAACUUGAGUGUAUCUACAAAAACUGUUACUAUUAACUUCCGAAAUGUUUUUCUUCCCCUCUGAGCCCAUUAUUCCCUAUGAUUGAUGCUUAUUUAAGGAAUAACGUCAAAAAAUCGUAUCAAAUUACAUAGCAUAGGCACAGAGAACAGACAUCCAUGAUCGAACAAAUAUACUAAUAAAACGUGUGUAAACAUUUGAAUUAAUAUACGAUAAAACACUAGCGCCGCCAAACCAACUUAU